rnacentral:ncRNA from 2 species
UACUUAUCAAGAGAGGCGGAGGGACUGACCCGAUGAAGCCCGGCAACCUGUUUAAGUAAGGGAAUUGUGUUCAUGCAUAAUUCUCCUUAUGAUAACAAGGUGCUAAUUUCAGCAGAGUACAGUGUACUCUGGCAGAUAAGUU